rnacentral:rRNA from 1 species
AUGAACGCUAGCGGAGGCCUAACGACAUGCAAGUCGAGGGGCAGCACGUCUUCGGAUGGUGGCGACCGGCGCACGGGUGCGUAACGCGUAUGUAACUUGCCCAUAACUGGAGAAUAGCCCAAAGAAAUUUGGAUUAAUGCUCCAUAGUAUUAUGAAACCGCAUGGUUUUAUAAUUAAAGCUCCGGCGGUUAUGGAUAGACAUGCGUCCCAUUAGCUAGUUGGUGAGGUAACGGCUCACCAAGGCUACGAUGGUAGGGGGCCUGAGAGGGUGAACCCCCACACUGGUACUGAGACACGGACCAGACUCCUACGGGAGGCAGCAGUGAGGAAUAUUGGUCAAUGGAGGCAACUCUGAACCAGCCAUCCCGCGUGAAGGAUGAAUGCCCUAGUGGUUGUAAACUUCUUUUAUAUAGGAAUAACCGUAAGUACGUGUACUUACCUGAAGGUACUAUAUGAAUAAGCAUCGGCUAACCCCGUG